UGGGGAAUAUUGGACAAUGGGCGAAAGCCUGAUCCAGCCAUGCCGCGUGUGUGAAGAAGGUCUUCGGAUUGUAAAGCACUUUAAGUUGGGAGGAAGGGCAGUAAGCGAAUACCUUGCUGUUUUGACGUUACCGACAGAAUAAGCACCGGCUAACUCUGUGCCAGCAGCCGCGGUAAUACAGAGGGUGCAAGCGUUAAUCGGAUUUACUGGGCGUAAAGCGUGCGUAGGCGGCUGAUUAAGUCGGAUGUGAAAUCCCUGAGCUUAACUUAGGAAUUGCAUUCGAUACUGGUCAGCUAGAGUAUGGGAGAGGAUGGUAGAAUUCCAGGUGUAGCGGUGAAAUGCGUAGAGAUCUGGAGGAAUACCGAUGGCGAAGGCAGCCAUCUGGCCUAAUACUGACGCUGAGGUACGAAAGCAUGGGGAGCAAACAGG
rnacentral:rRNA from 1 species